UACAGAGGGUGCAAGCGUUGUCCGGAAUCACUGGGCGUAAAGGGCGCGUAGGCGGCCUGAUAAGUAGGGGGUGAAAUCCUGCGGCUUAACCGCAGGGCUGCCUUCUAAACUGUCAGGCUGGAGCACAGUAGAGGCAGGUGGAAUUCCCGGUGUAGCGGUGGAAUGCGUAGAGAUCGGGAAGAACAUCAGUGGCGAAGGCGGCCUGCUGGGCUGUUGCUGACGCUGAGGCGCGACAGCGUGGGGAGCAAACAGG
rnacentral:rRNA from 1 species